rnacentral:rRNA from 1 species
AGUGAACGCUGGCGGUAGGCCUAACACAUGCAAGUCGAACGGCAGCACAGUAAGAGCUUGCUCUUACGGGUGGCGAGUGGCGGACGGGUGAGGAAUACAUCGGAAUCUACUUUUUCGUGGGGGAUAACGUAGGGAAACUUACGCUAAUACCGCAUACGACCUACGGGUGAAAGCAGGGGAUCUUCGGACCUUGCGCGAUUGAAUGAGCCGAUGUCGGAUUAGCUAGUUGGCGGGGUAAAGGCCCACCAAGGCGACGAUCCGUAGCUGGUCUGAGAGGAUGAUCGGCCGCACUGGAACUGAGACACGGUCCAGACUCCUACGUGAGGCAGCAGUGGGGAAUAUUGGACAAUGGGCGCAAGCCUGAUCCAGCCAUACCGCGUGUGUGAAGAAGGCCUUCGGGUUGUAAAUCCCUUUUGUUGGGAAAGAAAAGCAGCAGGUUAAUACCCCGCUGUUCUGACGGUACCCAAAGAAUAAGCACCGGCUAACUUCGUG